AUGGUCAAUGGCUACUCGCGUACCAAAGAAGAGAAGCCCACCGGCAAGUGCAUCAGCUAUGGUGUUUUUGUGGUAGGAGGGAGCAAUUGGUUACUAGAGUACUACCCCAAUGGCAAGCACCCGAACUGCGCCGACUUCAUCUCUCUCUAUCUAUCCCUUGUCCACGACGAUAGCAAAGUGGAUGCCACCUUCAGUUUUUGUCUCGUCGACCAGGUUGAGAAGCAGAUGCCAAUGGACAUCCGUGCAACUAAUAAAGCUACCAGGUUCGAGAGUGCUGGUGAUUAUUCCUGGGGCAUCAAUGAGUUUCUCUGA
rnacentral:rRNA from 1 species